rnacentral:lncRNA from 1 species
CUCGCCAUAACGGCGGAUUGUCCCCCCAUCCGCCAGGUGGCGCGAGUCUCUUCGUGAGGAAAAAAUAUUUGCCAUUUGUUUACGAAACGCUGACUUGAAAGUGUCUUCCAAGUUGAUUGGUGUCGAUCUACAUUUUUAGCCAUUAAAUGUAAUUGGCAAUCUGGCAAUCAACGGUUUUACUUUUGUUCGUUGAUUUUCAGGUCGGAAAUGGAGAUCUCUUUGCUCAACUGUUGCAGAAAUUUAGAACAUGACAAAGUCUGAGCUUCAUGGCUGUAGUAUCAUUAAUGUGGUUUUGUUGCAGCCAGCUGGUGAAAGGUCUGAUCGAGUCAUGGUUGAGUUGCAGCUUCUGCAUGCAGUUUAUCGAGCUGGUACAAUCCCAAGUUGCCCAAGCUGCAGGAAAACUUCUUGAAUUGCCAGGUGAAGUCUGUGCUUCUUUGUUGCAGUCUAAUGGAUUCGUUUCAGUCAUCCAGUGAAAGGUGUGAUUAAAUUGAGCUGUUGCAUGCUGUCUUUGGUGCUGAUGUUGUCCUCUGGAGUGUGGGAGAGUCCCAUGCUUCAAGUCUUCUGGGAUCAGCCAUAUCUGAGUUGACGCUGGAUCAUAUGCUGCAUUGUGGUUGCCGAAAUGUUGGACAUCUAGUAGAACUGCAAGAAGACUCCUUGAAAUGGUUUAUGUUUACGUAGCAGUGAUGUUGCUGUCCAAUAUGGCAUGUUGUUGCAGCCUAUACUGGUGAAAGAUUUUUUGCUUCGAGUUAUGCUGUUGCUGUUCCUUGGUGCCAGACUGCUGGUGUUGUGCACAAAAGUUACAUCCAGUUUUAAUUGUUAUUUGUGUCUAUGCAGUUAACCGAUUAUAUGUUGAAAAGGAACAGAAAAGUUUCUUGGUUGUGCUACAUCAGUUACAUCCAGUAUUUUUUAAAAUUGCUAUUUGCUUCUAUGAAGUUAACCGUUUAUAUUUUGAGAAUGAAAAAAAAUAGUA